UAAUAUGUAUAUGUAUGUACGUUGCAUAUAUAUUAUGACAUAAAUUUCGAAAUAUGACGUAAAUCAUCACUCUAUUCCUUUAAAAUAAAUAGGAAAUCGCGCGAAGAGCGAGAAAAGCGACAAGUGACAUUAUUUGGCAGCGAAAUGUCAAAUUACAGUCGCAUCAGCAUAACCUGAUCCAACUGCUGAAUACAUUUGACGAGGAAAGGAAGACUUGCCUGCUUAUUGAUGAGGCCGAGAAAUUUAAACUUCAAAUCCUCCAUGAUCUCGGAUUGCAUCGCGAAACGUCAAACGUCAAACGUCAAGCACAGACGCAUCAUCAGCUGUUCGCUCGCGCCGCUGCGCCUCCCAAAUGUCAAAGUGACAUUUCGCAGAUGCAUGCGGGAGCGUGGCAAAGUACGGGAAGAUCAUCGACCGGUCAUCUCGAUGAUCUCGAUCUCUCCUCGAUUAUUACUUCAAAAUCGCGCGAUUUGCUUUUUUCACCUCGAACACAAAAAAAUCGUGGAAACUCGCUCCAGACGUGCGAAACGGCGCGGAUUCUUUGUGGAAGAUGUUAUCGGCAAUGAUCCCUCUCGAAGUCGGCCGCGACAGGUUUUUGGUGAAGGGAUAAUAAUUUCGGGUUUUCAAGGUUUCCGAUAAUGAAUUCCCGAGCGAAACACGCCGCCACGUUCGGACAUGCAGAUGACACGAAAGACUGCGGCGCCUCUUUCGGCCGUUUCGCGCACUAUUUCAUCCUUUCAUCAGUUUUGAAAGGAAGAAGCGUUGCUCCAAAAACCGACGUCUGAAUCCCAAAAUCUGGAUGAAUAAAUGAAGAAGGAAAGAAAUAGAAAGAGAAACGAAGGAGAGAAACAUCUAGAAAGAGAAAUGAUAAGAAAGGAAAGGAAGGAAAAGGAGAGUAAGGUUAUUAGGACAUAAUUACGGAAUAAUGGUAUAAUAAUCCGGCUUUAAACAAUUCAGGAUGACUCGCCAUGAAGUUACAUAUAUAUCAUCAUCCCCAAGCGCCGACAUGUGUACGCUAAUCGCCGGCAUAAAAAGCGCACCUUGGGACAAAAUGGGAAAGUUAUCCGAAGAGACAGGAACGUAGCAACGAAUUGCGGAGCAUCGGAUCAAGUAGCACAUCAGAAAUAUACGCAAUUUUCAGCAAACACAGUAUAUAAAUGUUAUAUACUCAAGCAUGUUACAU